ACCCAUCUAGUGAUCCACGGUUCGAAACGAGAAGUACAAACCAAACCUCCUCCUGAAGCACACCUGCGAGCCCCUCAGGAAUAUUUCUAACCAAUAAACAGGCACAAAUUGACCAGCAUAUCACGUCAGUAAGAAUAUAUCUAAUCGCCUGAAAUUCAUCCACCAUCGGGGCUGUGCAUUUCCUCUUCUGUCACAGAGUCAGCCACUUAUUGUGUGUACGUUAAGUUAGUUAACUCCCUAUCGUUACAUGGAUGACAUCAACGGUGCAGCUAGACGAUAAGAUUGUGUAGCACGUAUCGUAUCGCUCCUAGCCAUGAAUACUACUAGUGUUCCACAACCCAGGUCCAUUUGGUACGUAUGAUCAGUAACUAGUUAGUAGUUCAACUGCUCAUGAAUCAGAUCCAGUUCAAGGAAAAAGUUCGGAGUGAAUUAAUUGCAUGCGCCAUUCGGCCAAGAGUAUUCGCAGAUCAUAAACGUGGCAGCGACUCAUGCAAUACGAAUCCAACAAUUGAGCGGUCUGCAACGACGUACUACUAUGUAGUAUGUAGUAUGAUAUGUAGUAUGUACAGUAAUACCUAACCCAAAGAAAACAGUAAUUUAGUAGAAUACCAGAGCG
rnacentral:lncRNA from 1 species